rnacentral:rRNA from 1 species
UUUCUUCGGAAUGAAGUUUUAGUGACUGAGUGGCGGACGGGUGAGUAACGCGUGGGUAACCUGCCUCACACAGGGGGAUAACAGUUGGAAACGGCUGCUAAUACCGCAUAAGCGCACAGUACCGCAUGGUACAGUGUGAAAAACUCCGGUGGUGUGAGAUGGACCCGCGUCUGAUUAGCUAGUUGGCAGGGCAACGGCCUACCAAGGCGACGAUCAGUAGCCGACCUGAGAGGGUGACCGGCCACAUUGGGACUGAGACACGGCCCAAACUCCUACGGGAGGCAGCAGUGGGGAAUAUUGCACAAUGGGGGAAACCCUGAUGCAGCGACGCCGCGUGAGCGAAGAAGUAUUUCGGUAUGUAAAGCUCUAUCAGCAGGGAAGAAGAAAUGACGGUACCUGACUAAGAAGCACCGGCUAAAUACGUGCCGGCAGCCGCGGUAAUACGUAUGGUGCAAGCGUUAUCCGGAUUUACUGGGUGUAAAGGGAGCGCAGGCGGAAGGCUAAGUCUGAUGUGAAAGCNCCGGGGCUCAACCCCGGUACUGCAUUGGAAACUGGUCAUCUAGAGUGUCGGAGGGGUAAGUGGAAUUCCUAGUGUAGCGGUGAAAUGCGUAGAUAUUAGGAGGAACACCAGUGGCGAAGGCGGCUUACUGGACGAUAAC